GACCCCUUGGCUCAGUGGUAGAGCGUCGCAUUCCAGUCUCUGUGGCUGUCGCGAAGGCCGUCCGUUCAAUCCGGGCAGGGGUCA